GAUCCCAUCCGUUAAUUAUCGGCUUCUCUCUCUCUCUCUCUCUCUCUCUCUCGUGACAGUCACAUGAGAGCUUGCAGCCAUGGCGGCAAAGAAGGCUUCAGAAUCAUUUUCGAAGGCCUUGAUUGAAGAAGUGCAGAGAUGGGGUGGGAUGAAACAGACCGGCGUCAGCUUGAGAUAUAUGAUGGAUUUUGGUUCCAAGCCAACAGCGAAGAACCUUCUGAUUUCUUCUCAGUUCCUGCACAAGGAGCUCCCCAUUCGGAUCGCCAGGCGAGCCAUCGAGCUCGAGAACUUGCCUUAUGGUCUCUCUGAGAAACCUGCUGUUUUGAAGGUGCGAGAUUGGUAUUUGGAUUCCUUUCGUGAUCUUCGAUCCUUUCCGGAGAUCAAAGAUUCAAAUGACGAGUUGUCUUUCACCCAAAUGAUUAAAAUGAUUAAAGUGAGGCAUAACAAUGUUGUGCCUGCAAUGGCUAUGGGCAUUCAGCAGCUGAAGAAAGACUUGGGCCCAAAGGUUGAGCCCGGAGAGCUCGAUGAGAUUCAUCAGUUUCUCGACCGUUUUUACAUGUCAAGAAUCGGGAUUCGCAUGCUCAUUGGCCAGCAUGUCGCUUUGCAUGAUCCCGAUCCCCAACCUGGAUGUGUAGGUCACAUACAUUGCAAGAUGUCUCCUAUGAAAGUAGCAGAAAGUGCCAGUGAGGACGCCCGCAGCAUUUGUCUACGGGAAUAUGGGAGUGCACCUGACAUUAUCACAUUUGGGGACCCCAACUUCACCUUCCCGUACGUUCCUUCACAUUUGCAUCUCAUGGUAUUUGAGUUGGUUAAGAACUCCUUGCGUGCGGUUCAAGAGCGUUUUAUGAAUUUGGAUAAGUACCCGCCUCCUAUUAGAAUCAUCGUUGCCGAUGGGAUAGAGGAUGUCACAAUAAAGAUCUCAGAUGAAGGCGGUGGUAUUCGGAGAAGCGGUCUUCCAAAGAUCUUUACAUAUCUAUACAGUACGGCCAAAAACCCACUUGACGAGCAUACGAACAUUGAAGGAACAACUGAUGGUGCAACAAUGGCUGGAUAUGGAUACGGUCUCCCAAUAAGCCGCCUCUAUGCCCGAUAUUUUGGAGGUGAUUUGCAAAUUAUCUCUAUGGAAGGAUAUGGCCUGCCAUAGAUGGACCAUAUCGGCACAAUGCUGGAUGCCACUCUUGAGGAAUUCUCAUUGAACUGAUGCAUACCUUCAUCUAUCACGAUUGGGAGAUUCGCAAGAACCAUUGCCAUGAUUCCAGCCUGCUUGUUCAUACAACAGAACUCUCAGUUUUUGAAGUUUGACAACACUACCGGUAAUAAUAUGCAGCCGAUGAACAUAGACCGUUUGGAUUUGGUGGGGCGCUUGUUUAGGCAAUUAGAGCAACUGUUCAUUCUUUAUUCCAGCCAAUUUACCAGGUUCAGAUUCAUUCAUAUGGCCUCGAAAAACCGUAGAGGUUUUCCUGUGCCGUGUGAUGCUCCCUUAUGCAUUUUGAAACUUGGGGCACCCGGUGCAGUUCUGUCUAUGCAGCUCUUGUAUGUAAGUUUGGUUUCUCAUCCCUUUGUUGAAAUACAUGUGCAGAUGCAUGUGAAUUUACAUCCUUCAUGUGUUUGAAUCUGUUGUAUGGAGUAUAGAUUAGAGAUUACAUGGA